rnacentral:rRNA from 1 species
AACGAACGCUGGCGGCAUGCCUAACACAUGCAAGCCGAACGAGAUCUUCGGGUCUAGUGGCGCACGGGUGCGUAACGCGUGGGAAUCUGCCCUUUGGUUCGGAAUAACAGUUGGAAACGACUGCUAAUACCGGAUGAUGACGAAAGUCCAAAGAUUUAUCGCCAGAGGAUGAGCCCGCGUAGGAUUGGCUAGUUGGUGUGGUAAAGGCGCACCAAGGUGACGAUCCUUAGCUGGUCUGAGAGGAUGAUCAGCCACACUGGGACUGAGACACGGCCCAGACUCCUACGGGAGGCAGCAGUGGGGAAUAUUGGACAAUGGGCGAAAGCCUGAUCCAGCAAUGCCGCGUGAGUGAUGAAGGCCUUAGGGUUGUAAAGCUCUUUUACCCGGGAUGAUAAUGACAGUACCGGGAGAAUAAGCUCCGGCUAACUCCGUGCCAGCCGCCGCCGUAA